UGGCUUAGGCAUGCAAGUCGUGCGACGGGUAGCAAUACUCAUAGCGGCGUAAGGGUGCGUAAUACAUGGAUCAUUUACCCCCGAGACCGGGACAACCCCGCGAAAGCGGAGCUAAUACCGGAUGACGUCCGAGGUACGAUGUGCCUUUGACCAAAGCUAGCCUCUACUUGUAAGCUAGCGCUUGAGGAGAAGUCCAUGUCCUAUCAGCUUGUUGGCGGGGUAACGGCCCACCAAGGCUAAGACGGGUAGCCGGCCUGAGAGGGUGUACGGCCACACUGGGACUGAGACACUGCCCAGACUCCUACGGGAGGCUGCAGUCGAGAAUCUUUCGCAAUGGGCGAAAGCCUGACGAAGCAACGCCGCGUGUGGGAUGAAGGUCUUCGGAUUGUAAACCAC
rnacentral:rRNA from 1 species